CCUACGGGAGGCAGCAGUGAGGAAUCUUCCACAAUGGGCGAAAGCCUGAUGGAGCAACGCCGCGUGAAGGAUGAAGGCCUUCGGGUUGUCAACUUCUUUUAUGAGUGAAGAAUAUGACGGUAACUCAUGAAUAAGCACCGGCUAACUACGUGCCAGCAGCGGCGGUCAUACGUAGGGUGCGAGCAUUAUCCGGAGUGACUGGGCGUAAAGAGUUGCGUAGGCGGUAAGUCAAGUGAAUAGUGAAACCUGGUGGCUCAACCAUACAGACUAUUAUUCAAACUGGCUUACUCGAGAGUGGUAGAGGUAACUGGAAUUUCUUGGGUAGGAGUGAAAUCCGUAGAUAUAAGAAGGAACACCAAUGGCGUAGGCAGGUUACUGGACCAUUUCUGACGCUAAGGCACGAAAGCGUGGGGAGCGAACCGGAUUAGAUACCCGGGUAGUC
rnacentral:rRNA from 1 species